rnacentral:rRNA from 1 species
UACGGGGGGGGCAAGCGUUGUUCGGAUUUACUGGGCGUAAAGGGCUCGUAGGCGGCCACCUAAGUCAGACGUGAAAUCCCCAGGCUCAACCUGGGAACUGCGUCUGAUACUGGAUGGCUUGAAUCCGGGAGAGGGAUGCAGAAUUCCAGGUGUAGCGGUGAAAUGCGUAGAUAUCUGGAGGAAUACCGGUGGCGAAGGCGGCAUCCUGGACCGGCAUUGACGCUGAGGAGCGAAAGCCAGGGGAGCAAACGGG